CGAGCACCUGCGCCAUGCCCUGCCGUACCUGCAGAGCCCACAGGAGACCCUGCGAGAGGCGGCCGUCAGGUUCAUUGGGAUCGUCGGGCGGAGAUUGAGGGGGCAGCAGGAAGAGCUGCAGCUUCUGUGCAAGGCCCUUGAACGCACAACAGCUGACGACAGCAAUGCAGUUUCAAACCUUGCCCUUCAAACAUUAUAUGUACUCAGGGCAGUGGAAAGAACUCCGUACUCUGUCUUCCACAAUCUGCAAGAUCAACUCCACAGGGCAUGGAAKGCAUGGCCUCGUCUGUGGAGCUGUGCCUGUCUGAGCUGCUGGAGCUCUGCAGAGAGCUGAAGUGUUAGGCUCGAUCUGCUGGGGCCACCUGAGCCAAGAUUCUUCUUCUUUUUCCUUCUUUCUUUGUUAAGUAAA